GUCCACGCCCUAAACGAUGCAUACUUGGUGUGAGCCAUUCAUUUGGUUCGUGCCGGAGCUAACGCGUUAAGUAUGCCGCCUGGGGAGUACGGUCGCAAGGCUGAAAACUCAAAAGGAAUUGACGGGGGCCCGCACAAGCGGUGGAGCAUGUGGUUCAAUUCGACGCAACGCGAAGAACCUUACCUGGGCUCGAACGGCUUUGGAUCAUCCUUGGAAACAGGGACUUCUCGCAAGAGACCGGAGUCGAGGUGCUGCAUGGCUGUCGU
rnacentral:rRNA from 1 species